rnacentral:tRNA from 1 species
AUUUAAAAUAAUUGAUAUAAUAAUAUUUAGAUGGGAGUGCCCACCCUCACAUUUAAUUAAUUAUUUAUAUA